GUAAACCCCAAGUCCAGCCCUUCUCAUAGGCGCGUCUGGCUCUGGUCAGGUGCGUCAGGCGUUCCUGUCGCCACCAAAUGAUAACUAAGGCUCUCCUCUCUCUCUCUCUCUCUCUCUCUCUCGAUGUGGUGGCUUCUGUCGGCCCUUUCCCUUCUUCUUUAUUCUCCUCCCUCUCCUUUUCUGAUCGAGCAAUGAAGGCACUAGUGGAAGAGAUGGCGGCUCCGCGUAGUUGAUCUGCGGCGAUUUCGAGGCUGGGGUCGAACCCGUGGUCGAUUUCGUUGCUAAGGUCACCGUGCUAACUGUUGUUUCAGUAAGGCCUGGAGCUUUUCCAUGACGGGCCGUCCCCGUGGCUGCAGUCGUUCCCUCUGUGACGUCUUCGAUGUCUCCGCCCUCGAUCCAUGGUGGAGACGGUAUUUGACGGUGCCCCGGAGGUUGAAAAGCCCUCAUCCUCUUCCUUUCCAUCUUCGGACGAUGAAUGGCGACGCACAUGAAGGCAACAACGAGAUAAUAACGGCGAUGGCAGCUUUGCACUAUGACCGGCCACGUUUGGCCUAGGUUGGCGACCCUGAUCUGCCAUGUUCAACCGGAACCGACUGGACCCAACCCCACUCGAUUCGACAGCAACGUCAUAGAGGCUUUGCCCACGUCUGGCCCGACCUCUCUGACCGAUUGGCUUCUCUCCUUUCCCUUCGAUGACAGAUUAUCCUCUUAGCGUCCCGAUCUCCUCCCUAUUAUAGUACUCUUGCCCAACAGGCAAACGAUCGCGCCAUUAGUCUGAUAGUCCUACCUCUCGCCUAUAAAGACCAACCUUUUGUGGCUCCCCUGUUGUGAUCACUGGUCUGAAUCGAUCAAGGAGGCUUUGUGCGUCCCUAGUUUGAUUACUUAGAGAUUUGGCUAUUAAGUAUUAGAUAGAUCGAUUAUUAGUGUUGUUGUGAUUAUUGGUGGGAUUUUGCGAUUGGAUACUAACCCGGAAUACCUUCAUUAUGAGUGGAAUUUAAUUGUGAAUUUAGGGUGCCUCCAUCCUGAUUACUAUUGGGGUUCACGAUGAAAUACAGUCAGUAAGUAGCGAUUGAAACUAACGGUUUCAAUAUUGCUAGAUACAAUUGUACUCUCGUUUAUUCUUUAAUGUUUCUCGUUUAUUCUUUGUA